AUGAUUUCAAGAACAACCUCUGUGCUAUGGUAUCUUUGGAGCAAUUUGUGUUUCAUGGCGGUUACUACUGUCGUAACCAACUGUAACCAACUUCCCAGAUGUCCUGGUAGUGGUAGGUACCGCAUUUGUAAUACCAGCCUUUUUUUAAACUUGUUUUGGAAAGUAUUUCAAAAGAAUUCAAAAACUAAUGUUGCUUGCAUGGUUGGGGGAGGUUUAAAACUUGAGAUUAACAUGAAAGAGAAAGGAAAAGAAAAAAAAGGUCUUCUUACUGGAAUUCAACCUGCUGUGUUUUGGGGAUUUGCCAAAAAUCCAGCAAAUUGA
rnacentral:rRNA from 1 species